UACAGAGGGUGCGAGCGUUGUUCGGAAUUAUUAGGCGUAAAGGGCGCGUAGGCGGUGCGGUAAGUCACCUGUGAAAUCUCCUGGCUCAACUGGGAGCUUGCAGGCGAAACUGCCGUGCUGGAGUGUGGGAGAGGUGCGUGGAAUUCCUGGUGUAGCGGUGAAAUGCGUAGAUAUCAGGAGGAACACCUGUGGCGAAAGCGGCGCACUGGACCACAACUGACGCUGAGGCGCGAAAGCUAGGGGAGCAAACAGG
rnacentral:rRNA from 1 species